rnacentral:lncRNA from 1 species
UUUGACCCAUUUGUUGAUGAUGAAUCAACUGAAAGGAUGUAUGCUAGUCUUCCUCCAUACAUUGAUCGAUUCACUUUCGAAAAGUGUGUGGAAGAAUUACGGACUACAGAAGAAUUUAAGGUAUUGUUUUUUAUACAUCCAUACUUCAAUAAUUUACUAUUUUAUAUUGUAAGUUGUUUAACAUUAUAUAUGAAUUCGCAGAGAAAAUCAAAAAUAAACAAAACAAACCGGACUAAGAAGAUACUAAACCAUAAAACAGGGUCAAUUCCUUUCAGUGCAAUAAGAGAAAAUCUGCAAAGCGAAGGCAUUGAGGCAUCACG